CCUACGGGUGGCAGCAGUGGGGAAUAUUGGACAAUGGGGGCAACCCUGAUCCAGCCAUGCCGCGUGUGUGAAGAAGGCCCUCGGGUUGUAAAGCACUUUCAGUGAGGAAGAACGCCUGGUGGUUAAUACCCAUCAGGAAAGACAUCACUCACAGAAGAAGCACCGGCUAACUCCGUGCCAGCAGCCGCGGUAAUACGGAGGGUGCGAGCGUUAAUCGGAAUUACUGGGCGUAAAGCGCGCGUAGGUGGCUUGAUAAGCCGGUUGUGAAAGCCCCGGGCUCAACCUGGGAACGGCAUCCGGAACUGUCAAGCUAGGGUGCAGGAGAGGAAGGUAGAAUUCCCGGUGUAGCGGUGAAAUGCGUAGAGAUCGGGAGGAAUACCAGUGGCGAAGGCGGCCUUCUGGACUGACACUGACACUGAGGUGCGAAAGCGUGGGUAGCAAACAGGAUUAGAUACCCUUGUAGUA
rnacentral:rRNA from 1 species